rnacentral:rRNA from 1 species
UACGUAGGGAGCGAGCGUUGUCCGGAAUGACUGGGCGUAAAGGGAGCGUAGGUGGCAGUUUAAGUUAAAUGUGAAAGCCCGGGGCUCAACUCCGGAAUGUCAUUUAAUACUGGGCUGCUGGAGUGCAGGAGAGGUAAGCGGAAUUCCUAGUGUAGCGGUUAAAUGCGUAGAUAUUAGGAGGAACACCAGAGGCGAAGGCGGCUUGCUGGCCUGCAACUGACACUGAGGCUCGAAAGCGUGGGGAUCAAACAGGAUUAGAUACC